ensembl:lncRNA
CCCUUGUGUACUUCCAGGCAGACAGACCUCCUCUUGCUGAGGACGAGAGGCUGAUUGUGGAUUCGUGCUAUGUGACUAUCAGCAGUUCACAUUUGUCCAUGCCAUGAUUUACAGUCAUUGAAAACCACAGGUAACAAGAAAGUGAAUGUGCAUGACUGAUAUCAAGAGCAGUAGGUGGUCCAAAUUCAUCCAAAGUAGACAAAGAAAUGUUGUGCGGUUCUCUUUGGAUGCAUUUCUGUUCUAUGGGAUGCUGAUAGAGUGUCUAGUAAAGUCAUCACCAGUAAGCCCUGGAUCAUGAAGUCUGAUAUGGAAAUUGUCAAGGGAGAGCAAACAACUCCAUUCAUGACAGAGGAGGUGGGGACAGGGUUUGUUGAAGUAAUAACCACACCAACAGCUGAGAUUGGACCGUGUCAUUUUGUGCCAGACCCAGCUGUGGUGGAGGAAGAAGUAGACAAAUUUGUGGAGCCACGCAGAAUAGUUAGGAAGGUAUUUGGAUUGGAC